AAGUUGAACUCAAUUCAACUUUUGCCGCGCGGCGGAAGUAGUAUUACAUCAUUUCUAGAAGUUUUGCAAGGUGAGACCGACUUAAGAACAUAGAAUUAUUAGUUAGUGUGACAACUUCCGCCGCGCGGUAAGCGUUGCCGCGUUCUGUGUGCAGGAGCCAUUACUUCUUUAACGUUUGCAAUGGCCUCAGUUGUGUGAUAUCAGUCUGUACGCGUUGGUUUUGUCACGAUGUUUAAUAUCGUGGACCCGCUCCCAGAUUUUGUGUGCGAGGAUGGGAAGUUUGUGUAUCCCCCCGUGGCCGAUCCCAGUGCACCCCAAUCGAAAACGAUAUAAUAUAAAGACAAGGGUAUGCUCGAUCGGUGGUAGACCACUGCACAUGUAUCAUAGGUCACAUUCGGCCAGUCAUGUCGCCAACACAUGUGCAACACGUGCCGAAUAAAUUCUGUAGUGCAAAGUCAAGUGAUUUCACAUUCAAAAUACGUUGUGCAGUUAAAGGAUGCGGAAAUUACCAUCAUAAGACAAAAAAUGAAUCGGAAAAUUUUUCGGAUUGAAAGGCAUGCUUAAAAGCAUACGUUCAAAUCUGCGCAGAAGUUUAAAUUUCCCGACUCCUGCGUAAUAAUCUUCUGUACAGCUUCUUGAUGCAAAAUGGUUCUAGUCGAUGGUUCAUCGUCAGGUGUAUCCCAUGGCGAGAUGAGAUUCAAUGAGCUUCACUUGACAAAAUUCCAUUUACGUUUUCCGUUUUCUGAAUUCUCUGGUGUCGUGCGUAAAGCACGAUAAAAUGGGAUACGGCUAAUAUUAACGAAACUUUGGAAAGAGACGAUGUGGGCCAAAAAAGAAGCCAAGAAGAAGCGUACAGAACUCAACGACUUUGACCGCUUCAAGCUGCGUAAAGUAAGGCAGAUAAAUAAAUUGCGGACGGAUGCGUUUUA